AUUGAACGCUGGCGGCAGGCCUAACACAUGCAAGUCGAGCGGAUGAAGGGAGCUUGCUCCUGGAUUCAGCGGCGGACGGGUGAGUAAUGCCUAGGAAUCUGCCUGGUAGUGGGGGAUAACGUCCGGAAACGGGCGCUAAUACCGCAUACGUCCUGAGGGAGAAAGUGGGGGAUCUUCGGACCUCACGCUAUCAGAUGAGCCUAGGUCGGAUUAGCUAGUUGGUGGGGUAAAGGCCUACCAAGGCGACGAUCCGUAACUGGUCUGAGAGGAUGAUCAGUCACACUGGAACUGAAACACGGUCCAGACUCCUACGGGAGGCAGCAGUGGGGAAUAUUGGACAAUGGGCGAAAGCCUGAUCCAGCCAUGCCGCGUGUGUGAAGAAGGUCUUCGGAUUGUAAAGCACUUUAAGUUGGGAGGAAGGGCAGUAAGUUAAUCCCUUGCUGUUUUGACGUUACCAACAGAAUAAGCACCGGCUAACUUCGUG
rnacentral:rRNA from 1 species